UUUGAUUUUUUUAAAAAAUUUAUUGUAAAUAAAUUUUAACAAUCAAAU
rnacentral:tRNA from 1 species